UACGUAGGGUGCGAGCGUUAAUCGGAAUUACUGGGCGUAAAGCGUGCGCAGGCGGUUUUGUAAGCCAGAUGUGAAAUCCCCGGGCUUAACCUGGGAAUGGCAUUUGGGACUGCAAGGCUUGAGUGCGGCAGAGGAGACUGGAAUUCCUGGUGUAGCGGUGAAAUGCGCAGAUAUCAGGAGGAACACCGGUGGCGAAGGCGGUUCUCUGGGCCUGUUCUGACGCUGAGGAGCGAAAGCGUGGGGAGCGAACAGG
rnacentral:rRNA from 1 species